CAGCACAGCACUUCCUCCUUUGCGGCCCCAGAGAGCUGGUGUGACACUGGCUUCAGUGAAACGGACAUCAGAAAAGAACCUCUACAAGAUGUAGACACUGCCAGGGUCCGUCCAAAGCAGCCAUUUCACUAUCUUUAGGAUGACUGUCCCUAAUGUUGUGCUCAACAAGCAUAGCUGGGGGACAGAUCCAGUUCUGACUGAGGGCUGAAGUGGAAAGUGUCCUCAUUCAAGUUCAAUGUGUCCCAAGAAACAAAACAAGACCUGGAACUCUGAGUGAGCACCAGGCCUCUGGGUCAGAAAAGUCAUGGUGCGUCUAGAUGUUGGACUCUCGCCAAUGUACACUCUGGACAGAGAAUGUUCAACCUGAAUAGAUGGGCCAGGAGAUCAAGGGCUUCCAAAGACCUACAAGGGCACACACACAGCAGAAUCGUCUUCAAAUGGCUAAAAACUGUUCAGCGGGCACUUGGACAUAAACUGCAAAACUCCGAAAACAUCAACGAGGUCAUCAAUGCCCGAGAACAAGGCUCUACUUACCCAUGCAAGCUCUGGCCUUUCAGCCACCUAAAACCUGCCAUCGGUUAGUGUAACCGUUAGCGCUCUCGUGUUGCCAACUGUCGGCAUUUGGUUUGCCAUAAGGGGUGUUUUUAUGCCAAAUGGGCUGGAUGCAUCUUCUGGAAGAUUCUACUCUUGCUCAGGAGCCUACAGAAGAAGAAAAAGCUCCGAGUUUCACUAGCUAAUGAGAGGGAAGCAUGGAAAUACAGAGUUGGCGUGGAUCUGGGGACCGAGUCCAACUUCUCAUUUACAGAUGGGAACACUGAGGUCCACGAUUGCACAGAAGGAAGGCAUCGUGUUUCU